rnacentral:misc_RNA from 1 species
AACGCACGAGACCUGCGGACCUGCGGAAGGAUCAUUACAGAGUUCGUGCCCUCUGGGUAGAUCUCCCACCCACUGUUUUCCUUACGACCGUUGCUUUGGCGGGCCGCCGGCCCUGCCCGGCCGCCGGCGCCCAGCUGGCGCGCGCCCGCCAGAGGCCCUCCAGACUCUGAAUGUUAGCGUCGUCUGAGUACCACAUAAUAAGUUAAAACUUUUAACAAUGGAUCUCUAGAUCGGAAGAGC